CGGUGAUUGGCGCAGCCUGGUAGCGCACUUCGUUCGGGACGAAGGGGUCGGGGGUUCGAAUCCUCUAUCACCGACCA
rnacentral:tRNA from 1 species